rnacentral:rRNA from 1 species
GAUGAACGCUGGCGGCGUGCUUAACACAUGCAAGUCGAACGGAAAGGCCGAAGCUUGCUUCGGUACUCGAGUGGCGAACGGGUGAGUAACACGUGGGUGAUCUGCCCUGUACUUCGGGAUAGGCUUGGGAAACUGGGUCUAAUACCGGAUAUGACGAUCUCUUGGAUGGGGUUGUGGAAAGCUUUUGCGGUAUGGGAUGAGCUCGCGGCCUAUCAGCUUGUUGGUGGGGUAAUGGCCUACCAAGGCGUCGACGGGUAGCCGGCCUGAGAGGGUGUACGGCCACAUUGGGACUGGGAGACGGCCCAGACUCCUACGGGAGGCAGAAGGGGGGAAUAUUGCACAAUGGGCGCAAGCCUGAUGCAGCGACGCCGCGUGGGGGAUGACGGCCUUCGGGUUGUAAACUCCUUUCGCAAUCGACGAAGCCUUUUGGUGACGGUAGGUUGAGAAGAAGCACCGGCUAACUACGUG